GAUGAAGAACGUAGCGAAAUGCGAUAAGUAAUGUGAAUUGCAGAAUUCAGUGAAUCAUCGAAUCUUUGAACGCACAUUGCGCCCGCCAGUAUUCUGGCGGGCAUGCCUGUCUGAGCGUCAUUUCAACCCUCAUGCCCCUAGGGCGUGGUGUUGGGGAUCGGCCAAAGCCCGCGAGGGACGGCCGGCCCCUAAAUCUAGUGGCGGACCCGUCGUGGCCUCCUCUGCGAAGUAGUGAUAUUCCGCAUCGGAGAGCGACGAGCCCCUGCCGUUAAACCCCCAACUUUCCAAGGUUGACCUCAGAUCAGGUAGGAAUCCCCGCUGAACUUAAGCAUAUCAAUAAGCGGAGGA
rnacentral:misc_RNA from 1 species